rnacentral:rRNA from 1 species
UACGAGGGGGGCAAGCGUUGUUCGGAAUUAUUGGGCGUAAAGGGCGCGUAGGCGGUGCGGUAAGUCUGAUGUGAAAUCUCCGGGCUCAACUCGGAGUCUGCAUCAGAAACUGCCGUGCUCGAGUGUGGGAGAGGUGAGUGGAAUUCCCGGUGUAGCGGUGAAAUGCAUAGAUAUCGGGAGGAACACCUGUGGCGAAAGCGGCUCACUGGACCACAACUGACGCUGAGGCGCGAAAGCUAGGGGAGCAAACAGG